UACGGAGGGUGCGAGCGUUGUCCGGAAUCACUGGGCGUAAAGGGCGCGUAGGUGGCGGGUCAAGCGUGCGGUGAAAGCUCGGGGCUCAACCCCGAGUCGGCCGUGCGAACUAGCUUGCUUGAGCACUGUAGAGGCAGAUGGAAUUCCGGGUGUAGCGGUGGAAUGCGUAGAUAUCUGGAGGAACACCGGUGGCGAAGGCGGCAUCCUGGACCGGUAUUGACGCUGAGGAGCGAAAGCCAGGGGAGCAAACGGG
rnacentral:rRNA from 1 species